UGAGGAAUAUUGGUCAAUGGGCGGAAGCCUGAACCAGCCAUCCCGCGUGAAGGAAGGCGGCCCUAUGGGUUGUAAGCUUCUUUAGUACAUGAAGAACAGGAUCUACACGUAGGUUUAUGACGGUAAUGUACAAAAAAGCAUCGGCUAACUCCGUGCCAGCAGCCGCGGUAAUACGGAGGAUGCGAGCGUUAUCCGGAUUCAUUGGGUUUAAAGGGUACGUAGGUGGCCCUGUAAGUCAGUGGUGAAAAUCUGCCGCUUAACGGUAGGGGUGCCAAUGAUACUGCGGGGCUUGAGUACAGUUGAGGUAGGUGGAAUGUGUAGUGUAGCGGUGAAAUGCAUAGAUAUUACACAGAACUCCGAUUGCGAAGGCAUCUUACUAAGCUGAAACUGACACUGAUGUACGGAAGCGUGGGGAUCGAACAG
rnacentral:rRNA from 1 species